rnacentral:misc_RNA from 1 species
CUGAGUUAGGGUCUUCUAGGCCCGAUCUCCAACCCUCUGCUAAUAUGACUAUGUUGCUUUGGCGAGCCCGUCUCUUCGAAGACCAUCGGGAAUCCCUGAUCAGUGCUCGCCAACAGCCUUCAUAAAUUCUUCAUAAAUUUGUCGUCUGAAUAAAAAGAUUGAAUUAUCUUUUA